rnacentral:rRNA from 1 species
UACGAGGGGGGGCGAGCGUUGUUCGGAAUUAUUGGGCGUAAAGGGUGCGUAGGCGGUUUUUGUAAGUCUUAUGUGAAAAUCUAUGGGCUCAACUCAUAGACUGCAUGAGAAAACUGCAGGGGCUUGAGUAUGGGGAGAGGUGAGUGGAAUUCCUGGUGUAGCGGUGAAAAUGCGUAGAUAUCAGGGAGGGAAACACCCUGUGGGCGAAAAGCGGGCUCACUGGACCCAUAACUGACGCUGAUGCACGAAAAGCUAGGGGGAGCAAAACAGGG